rnacentral:rRNA from 1 species
GUCGAGCGGCAGCACGGGUACUUGUACCUGGUGGCGAGCGGCGGACGGGUGAGUAAUGCCUAGGAAUCUGCCUGGUAGUGGGGGAUAACGUUCGGAAACGGACGCUAAUACCGCAUACGUCCUACGGGAGAAAGCAGGGGACCUUCGGGCCUUGCGCUAUCAGAUGAGCCUAGGUCGGAUUAGCUAGUUGGUGGGGUAAUGGCUCACCAAGGCGACGAUCCGUAACUGGUCUGAGAGGAUGAUCAGUCACACUGGAACUGAGACACGGUCCAGACUCCUACGGGAGGCAGCAGUGGGGAAUAUUGGACAAUGGGCGAAAGCCUGAUCCAGCCAUGCCGCGUGUGUGAAGAAGGUCUUCGGAUUGUAAAGCACUUUAAGUUGGGAGGAAGGGCAGUUACCUAAUACGUGAYUGUCUUGACGUUACCGACAGAAUAAGCACCGGCUAACUCUGUGCCAGCAGCCGCGGUAAUACAGAGGGUGCAAGCGUUAAUCGGAAUUACUGGGCGUAAAGCGCGCGUAGGUGGUUUGUUAAGUUGGAUGUGAAAUCCCCGGGCUCAACCUGGGAACUGCAUUCAAAACUGACAAGCUAGAGUAUGGUAGAGGGUGGUGGAAUUUCCUGUGUAGCGGUGAAAUGCGUAGAUAUAGGAAGGAACACCAGUGGCGAAGGCGACCACCUGGACUGAUACUGACACUGAGGUGCGAAAGCGU